UACGGGGGGGGCAAGCGUUGUUCGGAAUUACUGGGCGUAAAGGGCUCGUAGGCGGCCAACUAAGUCGGACGUGAAAUCCCUCGGCUUAACCGGGGAACUGCGUCCGAUACUGGAUGGCUUGAGAUUGGGAGAGGGAUGCGGAAUUCCAGGUGUAGCGGUGAAAUGCGUAGAUAUCUGGAGGAACACCGGUGGCGAAGGCGGCAUCCUGGACCAACACUGACGCUGAUGAGCGAAAGCGUGGGGAGCAAACAGG
rnacentral:rRNA from 1 species